GUGGGGAAUAUUGGUCAAUGGGGGGAACCCUGAACCAGCGACGCCGCGUGAGGGAAGAAGGUCUUCGGAUUGUAAACCUCUGUCUUUGGGGACGAACGAAAUGACGGUACCCAAGGAGGAAGCCACGGCUAACUACGUGCCAGCAGCCGCGGUAAUACGUAGGUGGCAAGCGUUGUCCGGAAUUACUGGGUGUAAAGGGAGCGUAGGCGGGGCGGCAAGCAAAAUGUGAAACUGAUCGGCUCAACCGGUCAUUGCGUUUUGAACUGUCGCUCUUGAGUGAAGUAGAGGCAGGCGGAAUUCCUAGUGUAGCGGUGAAAUGCGUAGAUAUUAGGAGGAACACCAGUGGCGAAGGCGGCCUGCUGGGCUUUUACUGACGCUGAGGCUCGAAAGUGUGGGUAGCAAACAGGA
rnacentral:rRNA from 1 species